rnacentral:rRNA from 1 species
CACGAACGCUGGCGGCAGGCUUAACACAUGCAAGUCGAGCGCCCCGCAAGGGGAGCGGCAGACGGGUGAGUAACGCGUGGGAAUCCACCCAUCUCUACGGAAUAACGCAUGGAAACGUGUGCUAAUACCGUAUACGUCCUUCGGGAGAAAGAUUUAUCGGAGAUGGAUGAGCCCGCGUUGGAUUAGCUAGUUGGGUGGGUAAAGGCCUACCAAGACGACGAUCCAUAGCUGGUCUGAGAGGAUGAUCAGCCACACUGGGACUGAGACACGGCCCAGACUCCUACGGGAGGCAGCAGUGGGGAAUAUUGGACAAUGGGCGCAAGCCUGAUCCAGCCAUGCCGCGUGAGUGAUGAAGGCCCUAGGGUUGUAAAGCUCUUUCACCGGUGAAGAUAAUGACGGUAACCGGAGAAGAAGCCCCGGCUAACUUCGUGCCAGCCGCCGCCGUAAUAC